rnacentral:tRNA from 1 species
GAUGGCGUAGUUUAGUUAAGAAUUAUUAUUCUGCAAAUAAUAGGUGAAUUGUGUUAUUCCGCUGUUA